rnacentral:rRNA from 1 species
UACGGGGGGAGCAAGCGUUGUUCGGAUUUACUAGGCGUAAAGGGCAGGUAGGUGGUUUGGUAAGUCUAUUGUGAAAGCUCCCGGCUUAACUGGGAGAGGCCAAUGGAUACUACCAAGCUUGAGUAUAGGAGAGGUUACUGGAAUUCCCGGUGUAGCGGUGAAAUGCGCAGAUAUCGGGAGGAACACCAAUGGCGAAAGCAGGUAACUGGACUAUUACUGACACUCAACUGCGAAAGCUAGGGGAGCAAACAGG